GCCAGGUGCAAUGGCGCCCACCUGUAAUCCCAGCGGCUUGGGAGGCUGAGGCAGGAGGAUCACAAGUUCAAAGCCAGCCUCAGCAACUUAGUGAGGCCCUAAGCAACUCGGUGAGACCCUGUCUCUA
rnacentral:sRNA from 1 species